rnacentral:rRNA from 1 species
AGUGAACGCUGGCGGCAGGCCUAACACAUGCAAGUCGAACGGCAGCACAGGGGAGCUUGCUCCCUGGGUGGCGAGUGGCGGACGGGUGAGGAAUACAUCGGAAUCUACCCUGUCGUGGGGGAUAACGUAGGGAAACUUACGCUAAUACCGCAUACGACCUCCGGGUGAAAGCAGGGGAUCGCAAGACCUUGCGCGAUUGGAUGAGCCGAUGUCCGAUUAGCUAGUUGGCGGGGUAAAGGCCCACCAAGGCGACGAUCGGUAGCUGGUCUGAGAGGAUGAUCAGCCACACUGGAACUGAGACACGGUCCAGACUCCUACGGGAGGCAGCAGUGGGGAAUAUUGGACAAUGGGCGAAAGCCUGAUCCAGCCAUGCCGCGUGGGUGAAGAAGGCCUUCGGGUUGUAAAGCCCUUUUGUUGGGAAAGAAAACUUUCCGGUUAAUACCCGGAGAGAAUGACGGUACCCAAAGAAUAAGCACCGGCUAACUUCGUG